AUAGGUGGCAAGCGUUGUCCGGGGAAUUAUUGGGGCGUAAAAGCGCGCGCAGGCGGUCCUUUAAAGUCUGGAUGUGAAAGCCCACGGGCUCAACCGGUGGGAGGGUCAUUGGAAACUGGGGGACUUGAGUGCAGAAGAGGAGAGUGGAAUUCCACGUGUAGCGGUGAAAUGCGUAGAGAUGUGGAGGAACACCAGUGGCGAAGGCGACUCUCUGGUCUGUAACUGACGCUGAGGCGCGAAAGCGUGGGGAGCGAACAGGAUUAGAUACCCUGGUAGUCCACGCCGUAAACGAUGAGUGCUAAGUGUUAGAGGGUUUCCGCCCUUUAGUGCUGCAGCUAACGCAUUAAGCACUCCGCCUGGGGAGUACGGUCGCAAAGACUG
rnacentral:rRNA from 1 species